rnacentral:rRNA from 1 species
CCCUUAGAUGUCCGGGGCCGCACGCGCGCUACACUGAAGGAAUCAGCGUGGCUUUCUCCCUGACCCGAAAGGGUUGGGAAACCCGUUGAAUCUCCUUCGUGAUAGGGAUUGGGGCUUGAAAUUGUUCCCCAUGAACGAGGAAUUCCCAGUAAGCGCAAGUCAGCAGCUUGCGUUGAUUACGUCCCUGCCCUUUGUACACACCGCCCGUCGCUACUACCGAUUGAAUGGUUUAGUGAGAUCUUCGGAUUGGCGCCACUGCGGCUCAGCAAUGGGCUCGGUGGAUGCCGAAAAGUUGAUCAAACUUGAUCAUUUAGAGGAAGUAAAAGUCGUAACA